rnacentral:snRNA from 1 species
GUGCUCGAUUCGGCAGCACAUAUACAAAAAUUGGAACGAUACAGAGAAGAUUAGCAUGGCCCCCGUGCAAAAUUAUGCAUAAAAUGUAACAUGGCAACUAACAUGG